rnacentral:rRNA from 1 species
GACAGAGGGUGCAAACGUUGCUCGGAAUUACUGGGCGUAAAGCGCGUGUAGGCGGGCCGAUAAGUCGGAUGUGAAAUCCCUGAGCUCAACUCAGGAACUGCAUUCGAAACUGUCGGUCUUGAGUAGUGGAGAGGAAAGCAGAAUUCCUGGUGUAGAGGUGAAAUUCGUAGAUAUCAGGAGGAACACCGGUGGCGAAGGCGGCUUUCUGGACACUUACUGACGCUGACGACGGCGGAAAAGCGUGGGGAGCAAACAGGG